UACAGAGGGGGCAAGCGUUAUUCGGAAUUAUUGGGCGUAAAGGGCGCGUAGGCGGCUUUGCAAGUGACGGGUGAAAGCCCUCGGCUUAACCGAGGAACUGCCUGUCAGACUGUAAGGCUUGAGACCGGGAGAGGUGAGUGGAAUUCCCAGUGUAGCGGUGAAAUGCGUAGAUAUUGGGAAGAACACCGGUGGCGAAGGCGGCUAUCUGGCCCGUAAUUGACGCUGAGGCGCGAAAGCGUGGGGAGCAAACAGG
rnacentral:rRNA from 1 species